UAGCGAAGGGGGCUAGCGUUGCUCGGAAUCACUGGGCGUAAAGGGUGCGUAGGCGGGUUUUAAGUCAGGGGUGAAAUCCUGGAGCUCAACUCCAGAACUGCCUUUGAUACUGAAGAUCUUGAGUCCGGGAGAGGUGAGUGGAACUGCGAGUGUAGAGGUGAAAUUCGUAGAUAUUCGCAAGAACACCAGUGGCGAAGGCGGCUCACUGGCCCGGUACUGACGCUGAGGCACGAAAGCGUGGGGAGCAAACAGGG
rnacentral:rRNA from 1 species